AUUAUGCUGACAUUCCAGCAUGCAUUUGGUAGACCUGUGGUUAACUCGCUCCCUCUCCAUGUGUCUGCUUCUACAAAGCUUUGUCCUCAUGAUACUAUGCUUUCAUUCUGCCAGUAUGUGCCCCAAAGGUUGCCUUUGUUCUCAUUCUGGAGGUUUGAAUGUCAGCUGCAGCAAUGCGAACCUGAAAGAAAUACCCAGAGAUCUUCCUCCUGAAACUGUCCUCCUCUAUUUAGACUCCAAUCAGAUUACAUCCAUCCCAAAUGAGAUUUUCAAGGACUUGCACCAAUUGAAAGUCCUCAACUUAUCCAAAAACAUCAUUGAAUUCAUAGAUGAGCACUCCUUCAAAGGGGUGGCAGAAACCUUGCAAAUGCUAGACUUGUCAGACAACCGGAUUAAAAGUGUGCACAAAAAUGCUUUUAACAACUUGAAGGCUAGGGCUCGAAUUGCAAACAACCCUUGGCACUGUGAUUGCACCCUUCAGCAAGUCUUGAGAAGCAUGGCUUCCAACCAUGAAACAGCCAACAGUGUCAUCUGUAAGACCUCCGAUUUAGAUGAACAUGCUGGGAGGCCAUUUCUCAAUGCAGCUGAUGCUGACCUAUGUAAUAUUCCUAAAAAGACAACAGAUUAUGCCAUGCUAGUCACCAUGUUUGGCUGGUUCACCAUGGUGAUAUCCUAUGUAGUUUACUAUGUGCGGCAAAAUCAAGAGGAUGCACGCCGGCACCUGGAGUACUUGAAAUCUCUGCCAAGCAGGCAGAAAAAACCAGAUGAAGCAGAUGACAUUAGCACUGUUGUAUAAUGAGCCCAAACCCUGUGACAGACUGAGAUAGCCAUUAGGUAUGGAGAGCACGGAUACCAGCUGUUUCCUUCUAACAUUCGUGGUCAAUAUGUUAAAGACUUUUUCCAAUUAAACUGAAUUCUGCCACUGUCAACCUUUCUUAAAAAAAAGAUGUCUGUUUUGGGAUAAUAACAGUACUCUUUUAUUGUUUCUCUGGUGGUAUUCUAAACGAAGUGAACUAAAAUGUAAACAUUAGUUUAGACUCAUUCCACUCUUUAAUAAUGAAAUUUAUUUUUUUAAUUUAAAACCAAAUAAAAGCUAAACUUUGAACCAUGUAAAUGCAGAGUAAUUUAUUGACCCAAAGACUGCCUUAUAAGCCUUGUUUGGCUAUUGCUAUGUGGACAGAUCACAGAUUUACACUGAUCAAAAAGUGAUUUUGAAUCAGGCCAAUUCAAAUUUCCCGAAAUUGGCUCUCUGAAGAUAUAUCUAAACCUUGAUAUGUAUUGAUAUAUUUAUGAGAGAGAUUAUGUUAUUAUACAACAUAGUACCAUUCUAUGUUCAAAGUAUACCACUGUCAUUUUGAUAUUAUCAAGUUAAUGUUUGGUUAGUUCCAAUCUGCUGAAUUCAAGUGAUCAACUUACUAUUGAUUUUGGCACUCAUAUAUUUUUAUUCUGGCUGCCAUGCAACACCGCAGCUUUCUAUAACCUGGUACUUAAAUUUUGAGUUUCAAGUCUUAUCUGCUGCGGAUUUGGGGAGUUGAUUUCUAAAAUAUCUGGUGAAUAUUAGAAAGUAGUUUAUUGUAAUGAACAUAAAGUGUUGCAUUUGAAUAGAUGUAUAUGAAGUGUUAGAAUAGUAUUUGUUUUAGUUUAAAAGAGAGCAUUGGAGAAUGUAUCUACAAAUCUAUUUUGAAUUGAGAUUGAAGUAUAAUUUUUCUUCCCUCUCCUUUCAUUCUAAAUUUUAGAAAAUCCACAUCCAUUAUUAUAUAAAUUAUUUUUCAUAUAUAUGAAAGAGCAUAUGCAAAUAGUUCGCAGUUCUUUGGCUCAAUCUUCAAUUUUUACUGUGUAUCUGUAAGUGAGAUAGAUAUAGAAAAUCUUGUCAAGAUUUGAUGAAGUGGGCUGGUUCCUAAUCAAAUAAUAAAAUUAGCUCCUUAAAAUCCAUAGGAACUUGUUGUAUAAUUAGAACCUGUGUAACAGAUCAGGAUCCCUGUUAUUGAAAGCCCAGUUAUUGUCAGUAUUAGGUUAGGGGAAUCUCAGAGCUAUUGACACUAGGAAGUAAAAAAAAAAGCAGUGGCGAACCAUUUCUGCAACCUGCUAAGGGAACCAUAUAGAGGUUUUCUAUUAGAAUCACUUUUAUACAGAACCAUUGAGCUGAUGGGGACCGUCAGACUAUUAUCUAACUCCCUGUUGAGUGCAGAAAUCCAAAUUAAAACAUUUCUGUCUAACAGACAGCUGUGUAUCCUCCAGCUUCACUGAAUGACAAGGAGAAAACUAGCUCUGAAAGUAAAUUUUUCCCCUAACAAAAUAUUGUUAAUUUUUUUCUAAUGUUCAGUCAGAAUUGUUUUUCUAUCAUUUUAACCUAACAAGCAACUUGAUUAAAAUAUGACAAAUUUAAUCUAGCAAGAUUUAUUUUUAACAAAUAUAUGCUGAAAAUAGUAUCUUCAUUGUUUUCAAGGUGCUUACAGAUUGCUGUCUUUAUUUUCAUCUUUAGGUCUUCCCAACCACAUAUCAAUUUUAGAUUGGUCUGUAAUUUCUUGAGUCCAUCUAUUGAACAAAUAUAUGAAUUUUGACUUUCUCCAGUCACCUAGCAUAUCACAAGGUCUCAAGGAUUUUUUCAGAGAUAAUUCAUGUUUGGUCAGACCAUUAGCAACUUACCAUGUAGUUCAUAAAGCCCUAGAUAUCUAAACUAUUCGUGAGAAAAUUGCAAUUUCCUGACCUUGCUUAUGUCAGUCUUGAGCUUCAUUCCUUCCUGUUCAAUAUGCUCAUGACUGGCAAAAUAUCUGCUUCUUGUUAAGAGAUGAUAUGGUCAAAAGAGGACUUGGAUAGUUAUGUUCGCAUUUUGCUUUUGUUCCUUUAAAUAUACUUUAAGAAAACCUGUUCAUUUUUCUAAUAUUCUGCUAAUUUCAGCUCAUUCUGAACUUUCGAUUUUGUGCCACCAUUCUUACAGUUUUGGGUGUCUCACUGUACUCUCACCUUGGUAAUCUCUCUUUACAAGUUUUUGUUUAUUUGUUUUUCAGAACUCAAGUGUUUCUGGAUCUGGGCCAUACUGAUUCAAUAUUUUAAUACCUUUCUUUAGCUAUACUGUUUCGAAUCUCUUGUUCUUCAUUAUAUACGAAGAAAUAUACCCAAAGUGAACUGGCAUCUGAAGGGCAUUUGACAGAAGAGAAAUCUCAUUUAGAAUAUCGAUCAUGAGGGCUAAAUCGUUCAAAAAAUUUAAAAUUUCAAAAUGGAAACCAUGCCUGGGAAUCUUUCAUUGCCCAGAAAAAACUGAUGUAGCGCUGGAUAAGCACACCACACAGCUAUGGUUGAUCUUAAACUACAGGGAGCCCAUCUUGGUCCCAAAACUCUGCCAAUCAAUGUCCAGUUGUUCAGAGAUUUGGAAAAGGUCAUUCUGGCUCUUGCAGGAUUUCUGGAAAGUGAUGUGUACCUUAUCAAGGAAGAUCUUGAAGUGGUUCACUUGUUUUAUUUCUUUUAUUGCAUCAUCCAGCACAAGUUGGAGGCUGUGGUUCAAGCAGUGGCAGAUUACAAUGUUUGGGAAGUCUUGAGCUAUUCUGGUGCUGACUCCAGAUUUUC